rnacentral:rRNA from 1 species
AUGGAAACUAAGUUUCUUCAAGUACGAGCAUGGGUUUCAUGUAAGCAAUCGGCUUCGGCGUUCCUUUUUAUAAAUCAUGAAAAGGUAGCUUUAGCAUUUUUGGCAUGUAGCAUUGUCUACAGUAAAAAUCUACCAGCAGCGACCAAGGCGAGGUGUAGAACGGGACUAAGAGUACUUGGCCGAGCAUCUUCUGCCAUUGUCGAAACUGAAGAACUCGGAGUUUAUAGAAUCCAUUUUAUAAAUCGUCACAUGUGCAUCUUGAUUACAUAUGGGAUUAUUAUCAGAUAUUGCCUCCAUUAA